GGUAAAGAAGCUUCCUUGUUAGGUAGUGAGGAGAUAAAGAAGCAUCCUUGUUAGGUAGUGAGAGGUAAAGAAGCUUCCUUGUUAGGUAGUGAGAGGUAAAGAAGCAUCCUUGUUAGGUAGUGAGGAGGUAAAGAAGCAUCCUUGUUAGGUAGUGAGGAGAUAAAGAAGCAUCCUUGUUAGGUAGUGAGGAGGUAAAGAAGCAUCCUUGUUAGGUAGUGAGAGGUAAAGAAGCUUCCUUGUUAGGUAGUGAGGAGAUAAAGAAGCAUCCUUGUUAGGUAGUGAGAGGUAAAGAAGCUUCCUUGUUAGGUAGUGAGGAGAUAAAGAAGCAUCCUUGUUAGGUAGUGAGGAGAUAAAGAAGCUUCC